GUGCUUGCUUCAGCAGCACAUAUACUAAAACUGAAAUGAUACAGAGAAGAUUAGCAUGGCCCCUGCGCAAGGAUUACAUGCAAAUUUGUGAAGUGUUCUGCAUUUCU
rnacentral:snRNA from 1 species